AUCAAGCAAUCACCAAACAAAAACACCAAUGCCCCCCAAGCUUAUUCAAAGCCAAAAUCACAAACAUAUAUACACAAAGCGUAAGAACACUUCCCCGCAAGCUAAAAUUAAGCAUUCAAUGCACAAAAUAGGGAGAAAUACACUUAUAUCAACAUAUUUUUGGAAUUUUUAUUUUUCACAUUUUUUUCACUUUUGCCAAAGCAUUUGAAUUUGCUUUGCUUUUUCUCAGUUUUUUCUUUUUUUAAUUUUUCACUUUAUUGCAUUGUCCUCGCCUCUUUUAACUAUAGACGACUUUUUCAACUUGUAAUUUGCCCUUAUUCACAAAAUACAUAAAACAAACUUUCUUAUAUUAUAAGAACCAAUACUCAAGCUCAUCCACCCAAUGGCGGAUCCAGGAGGGUACAUAGAGUUACAACUGUACCCCAUUUUGGAAAAAAAAGUUAAUAGUAAAAGAGACCUGUUCUCUAAGAUAGGCGGUUUCUUUGGUUAAAAUAUUAAAUGCUACAACUAUUAUCUGUCAGUUUUCAUAUACAAGUAAAUAAUUAAAAAAAAAAAAAGAAUGUUCUCUCUUUUUUUUUUGAAAGAACGCUCUCUACCUCUCUCUCCUCACUUCCUCAGUUCACACCACAAAACCAGAAAACCUAGAUCUAAAAUUCACUGUCUACUCCGAUUGCUCACCGGUGCCUCACAAGUCAUGGCCUCAGCCCACUCCGACAGCGGCUUAAUUAUUGAAUUAGUUCCUAGUUCUUACAAGUGAUUCUCACGAAUUGGAGGAUGAAAAACAAAAGUUUAGAAUACUUUUGGAAGGGAGGUGGAGGGAAACCACAUAAAUCUUGAACUGCAUCUUCUCCAAGCUCACAUCCAUCACAAGAGCCUCCAAUAAAUUAUAAUGAGCAAGCAGUCGAUGGAUUUGUUGAUGAGGAGAUGGAGACCAUGGAGCAUGAAGUCCCUGCUGCUCCAAAUCCUCCAAUUGAGGAAGAAAUUGAACAAGAAAGGGCUGAAAAAACACCUUACAGUACAACAAGAACUACUUGUGAGGAAGCUAGUUAUGAUGUUGAGCUUCUUCCACAUGACCCUGGAAAAAGAAAUCCAAUCUCCUCUUAUCCUCCCAAUGAUCAAGAUGCUGUACGGAGAGGAUACAUUCUAAAAAAGGCUUGUCAUUCGCGUACACAUGAUUUUUCUCAUCGUGAAUUAGGAGGUAUGCGUCGCUUUAGCGUUUCUUGGUUUGACAAGUAUGCUUGGCUUGAGUAUAGUGUUGAAUUGGAUGCUUCCUUUUGUUUUAGUUGUUACUUCUUCAGAGAUAAAACUAGUUUUCAAGAGGGGAUGCUUUUGUGAAUGAAGGUUUUAGGGGUUGGAAUAAACCUGCUAGAUUUGACAGACAUGUUGGGGCUUUUAGAAGUUGUCAUAAUGAAGCUCAAGAAAAAGAUAAUUUUUUCAUCA